rnacentral:rRNA from 1 species
GAUGAACGCUGGCGGCGUGCCUAAUACAUGCAAGUCGAGCGAACGGACGAGAAGCUUGCUUCUCUGAUGUUAGCGGCGGACGGGUGAGUAACACGUGGAUAACCUACCUAUAAGACUGGGAUAACUUCGGGAAACCGUAGCUAAUACCGGAUAAUAUUUUGAACCGCAUGGUUCAAAAGUGAAAGACGGUCUUGCUGUCACUUAUAGAUGGAUCCGCGCUGCAUUAGCUAGUUGGUAAGGUAACGGCUUACCAAGGCAACGAUGCAUAGCCGACCUGAGAGGGUGAACGGACACAAUGGAACUGAGACACGGUCAAGACUCCUACGGGAGGCAGCAGUAGGGAAUCUUCCGCAAUGGGCGAAAGCCUGACGGAGCAACGCAGCGUGAGUGAUGAAGGUCUUCGGAUCGUAAAACUCUGGUAGUAGGGAAGAACAUAUGUGUAAGUAACUGUGCACAUCUUGACGGUACCUAAUCAGAAAGACACGGCUAACUACGUG